GCCCGGGUGGCUCAGUCGGUUAAGCGUCCGACUUCGGCUCAGGUCGUGAUCUCACAGUUUGUGGGUUUGAGCCCCACGUCGGGCU
rnacentral:tRNA from 1 species